rnacentral:misc_RNA from 1 species
CACCACCACCAUUACUUAGCCACCAUUGUCACUCGAUUAAUAAUAGUGAUGUUGAUGAUUGUGGUGGUGGUAGCAAAGUGAGCUAGUGGUGGUGGUGGCGGCGGCGGCGAAUGAAUUGGUUUUGGGAGUAGAUCGAAGUAGGUGUAGGGUUCGGAGGUGCGAAGAGAGUUUUCUCGACAUAGUGUGUGUUCAGUUGGAUCUCAGGUCAGCCCCUGUGUGUAUAUAGAUGGAGACUUGUUCUUAUCAACGCUCUGUAUCUUCUCUUUUUUGUGGAAAUGAAAUGGCAAAUAAGGGUGCCACUGGCCGGCGGCUUCGGCCAAGGUUGACUCGCUCGUAUCGAAUUUCUCUCAAGG